UAUAAAUAACCUUGCUCGCGUUUCUUUCUCUCCUCAAUCGCUCUCCCUGACAAUCUUCACCUAAAACCCUAAGAAUCUCCCUCUCUUCGUUAAAAUUCAGCUCAAUCCUAAAGCUAAUAGCUAAAAGAGAGAGAUAAUACUACGUAUGGAGAGAAUUAUCGGAGAGAAGUACAAGUUAGGUCGCAAAAUUGGAAGUGGAUCGUUCGGUGAAAUAUUUCUUGCUACUCAUGUUGACACCAAUGAAAUCGUGGCAGUUAAAAUUGAAAAUAACAAGACCAAACAUCCACAGCUGCUAUACGAAGCAAAGAUAUAUAAGAAUCUUCAAGGAGGAAGUGGUAUUCCAAGCAUCAAAUGGUAUGGAGUUGAUGGGGAUGAUAAUGUUCUAGUCGUUGACCUGCUAGGACCAAGUCUUGAAGAUCUAUUUGUCUACUGUGGGAGGAAAUUUUCACUGAAAUCAGUCCUGAUGCUGGCUGAUCAGAUGAUUACAAAAAUAGAAUUUUUGCAUUCCAAAGGGUUUUUGCACAGAGACAUCAAACCAGAUAACUUCCUUAUGGGUCUUGGCAGGAAAGCAAAUCAGGUCUAUAUUAUUGAUUUUGGGCUUGCAAAAAGAUAUCGGGACCCCACCACAAACCGCCACAUUCCUUACAGAGAGAACAAGAAUUUAACAGGGACUGCUCGUUAUGCAAGCUGUAAUACUCAUCUAGGAAUUGAGCAAAGCCGGCGGGACGAUUUGGAGAGUCUGGGCUAUGUUCUCUUGUAUUUUUUGCGGGGAAGCCUCCCUUGGCAGGGUCUGAAAGCUGCUACAAAAAAGCAAAAGUAUGACAAAAUAUGUGAGAAGAAGGUGUCAACCCCUAUUGAGGUCCUGUGCAAGUCCCAUCCUGUGGAAUUUGCUUCCUACUUCCAUUAUUGUCACUCUUUAACAUUUGACCAGCGGCCUGAUUAUGGAUUCUUGAAACGCCUGUUUCGUGACUUGUUUACUCGAGAAGGAUUUGAGUUUGAUUACAUCUUUGACUGGACCAUUCUCAAGUACCAGCAGACACAGAAGACAAAGAAACUGGCUCAAUCAUCUGAUUUGCUGCCAGCUUCUAGGGUGACUAGCAGUCGGGCAAGGCCUGUGGAUACAGAUAAACUUAAGGGAGUCAAUGAUGCAUCAUAUUGUGCUGAGGUUAUGGAGCGGAGGGGAUCAUAUAAGCUUGCUCGUCCAGAUUUGGAUAUGCAUAUUAGAUCAUCGAUUUCCCAGAAUGUAGGUUCCAGUAACCCAAUUGAGAAGCAUAAUGUGAGCAAUACACCAGUGCCAUCUACUUCAUUUGCUGUGCCCAGUGCUUUCAAAAGAAAUUUUCCUGAGGAACCGGAUGAGGCCGCAAAUGUUGGUCGUGGAAAUGGAAACAGAACUGGUGCUUCAAGCCUCUGGGUGCCAUCAUUACACUGAAAUUCUUCUUCUAAGUAAUUGCCAUGAUUUGAAGGAAUAUGGAAACACAAUGUUGCAAUCUUCGUGAAGUUUGGGUAGCGUGAAUUCUUUGUUGCAAAGCUACCACGUCGUAUAAUGUAAUUUUUAUAAGGUGACUACAAGCAUAGACACAUUGGAUGGUGCCAAGACCUGGUCCAUCAAAGCUUGGUUUUUUCAUAUGUGCAUAGGUGGAAAAAAUGACUGAAUCCAGAUUCAUGUCUAAUAAUUCAAUGGAUUAUAUGUACGCACAUCCUUCAGAAUCUGAAAAAUAAAAGGAUUUAAUCCAGCAAUUCAGAUUUAUAUGAUUCAGAUUUGGCAUGAGAGGAGGUUUUAAUGUAUAAACGGGAGGAGUCCACCUUGCUUGUUGAAUGGAUAUCUGGGACCUUAAUAAGUUAGUGGCUGCAAGGUAUUUAAUGCACUUCACUUUUGCUCUCUUUAAUGAUAUAUUGCAUCUUUCAUUUUGUUAGAAGAAAAAAGAGAGAUGAAGAUUGCUUGCAGAAAUGUUUGCUUUUGGCUUUUCUGAUAUAAUGAUCAGGAAACAAAUGUCUGCUAGUACUCAUUGGAACAUGGCCUGGAAAAAUCAGUUUCAUUCUCUAAUAUAUUUCUCUGUGGAAACUUAUACUCACAUAGUGGUGUAUUUUUUCGGGGAAAAUUAGAUCUGGGAUUUCCGAACCUUCGAAUCCUAAAAUGGGAGGCUAUUCUGGGUUGAGAAACUAUAACAGUUUGGAUAGAAGAGCUUUCUGAUAAUCAAUACUCCUUUCUGGUAGUAACACAAUAUUCAUGCUUGUCUUCAUUUGCCUGUACAUGAAGCAUGCUUUAGGAGUCCUAUACAACAACAGAUACAAAACAAAAUUUACAAAAUGGGAUUAGGACUGUUCCAUAAUUAGGUCAUUCCGGAAAAAUAAAGUUGAGUGGAAGGGAAUUCCCAAUGGACAAAAUUGUUAUGAAUCUCCAUGGACUCGGUCGUGUGACGUGGCGACUAGAAUAAUGUCACGGUCACUCUGGCUCUUUCAGAAAAUCAAUAUUGUCAACAAAGACCGGCAGGGCAGAGAGAAACAAUGAGACAAAAGGAAGACCAACAGCCAUAGCGAUUUCCAACCGUCAGGAACCAAGCAAGCGGUAAUCUUGGUAUUGAUACCUGGCAAUGGUCCAGGUUCACGCGGGUAAUCUUUCCACCCGAUAAUUUGAUUGCUUUGCUUCAGUAGUCUUGUAAACAUCAUCUGUAUCUAUUGCAGUCUGUUAAAAUUUAAAUAAUUACUCCGCAUAA